rnacentral:rRNA from 1 species
GUGUCAGCAGCCGCGGUAAGACGGACCGUCCGAACGUUACCCGGAAUUACUGGGCGUAAAGGGGGCGUAGGCGGUAAAAGAAGUCAUCUGUGAAAACCUAUUGCUCGACGAUAGGCUAGCGGAUGAAACUGAAUUACUUGAGGGCACCAGAGGUAGACGGAAUUACCCGAGUAGGGGUGAAAUCCGCAGAUACGGGUAGGAACGCCGGUGGAGAAGUCGGUCUACUGGGGUGUAACAGACGCUGAGGCCCGAAAGCUAGGGGAGCAAACCGGAUUAGAUACCCGGGUAGUCCUAGCCGUAAACGAUGCUCACUAGGUGUAGGGAGUGACAAACUCUCUGUGCUGAAGCAAACGCGCUAAGUGAGCCGCCUGGGGAGUACGUCCGCAAGGAUGAAACUCAAAGGAAUUGACGG